rnacentral:rRNA from 1 species
GACAGAGGGUGCGACCGUUGUUCGGAAUUACUGGGCGUAAAGCGCGUGUAGGCUGUUCGGAAAGUCGGGUGUGAAAGCCCUGGGCUCAACCUAGGAAGUGCACUCGAAACUCCCGAACUGGAGUCCCGGAGAGGAAGGUGGAAUUCUCGGUGUAGAGGUGAAAUUCGUAGAUAUCGAGAGGAACAUCGGUGGCGAAGGCGGCCUUCUGGACGGUGACUGACGCUGAGACGCGAAAGCGUGGGGAGCAAACAGG